UGAGUACAAGAUGCUACGGCAUUGAAGCAGUCUAUGUCAUACUUCCAAGAAAAGCUUGCAAUGUCAUAAACAAAUAAUGCCUGUACCAUAACCGACACAGGUGGGUAGGUAGAGUAUACUAAGGGGCGCGAGAUAACUCUCUCUAAGGAACUCGGCAAAAUGACUCCGUAACUUCGGGAGAAGGAGUACCUUAUUUUAUAAGGUUGCAAUAACAAGGUCCAAGCAACUGUUUACCAAAAACACAGGUCUCCGCUAAGUCGUAAGACGAUGUAUGGGGGCUGACGCCUGCCCAGUGCCAGAAGGUUAAAGAAGUUGGUUAGCAUUAGCGAAGCUGAUAACUGAAGCCCUGGUGAACGGCGGCCGUAACGAUAACGGUCCUAAGGUAGCGAAAUUCCUUGUCGGGUAAGUUCCGACCCGCACGAAAGGCGUAAUGAUUUGGAUACUGUCUCGGAGAGGGGCUCGGUGAAAUAGACUUGUCUGUGAAGAUGCGGACUACCUGCACCUGGACAGAAAGACCCUAUGAAGCUUUACUGUAACAUGAGAUUGAAAUUGGACUUUAUUUGCGCAGUAUAGGUGGGAGACCUCGAAAGUAUUCUUGCGGGAAUAUUGGAGUCAUCAGUGAGAUACCACUCUUAUAAUGUUAGAUUUCUAACUUUGUAUCAUUAUCUGGUCAAAGAACAGUUUCAGGCGGGCAGUUUGACUGGGGCGGUCGCCUCCCAAAUGGUAACGGAGGCGCACAAAGGUUUCCUCUGAACGUGUAGAAAUCGUAUCUAGAGUGUAAAGGCAUAAGGAAGCUUGACUGUGAGACCUACAAGUCGAGCAGGGACGAAAGUCGGUCUUAGUGAUCUGACGGUGCUGAGUGGAAAGGCCGUCACUCAACGGAUAAAAGUUACUCUAAGGAUAACAGGCUGAUCUCCCCCAAGAGUUCACAUCGACGGGGAGGUUUGGCACCUCGAUGUCGGCUCAUCGCAUCCUGGGGCGGUAGUACGUCCCAAGGGUUGGGCUGUUCGCCCAUGAAAGCGGUACGCGAGCUGGGUUCAGAACGUCGUGAGACAGUUCGGUCCAUAUCCGGUGUAGGCGUUAGAAUAUUGAGAGGAGCCUUCUUUAGUACGAGAGGACCGAGAAGGACAUACCUCUGGUGUACCAGUUAUCGUGCCAACGGUAAACGCUGGGUAGCUAUGUAUGGAGAGGAUAACCGCUGAAAGCAUCUAAGUGGGAAGCCCACCUCAAGAUAAGUA
rnacentral:rRNA from 1 species